rnacentral:lncRNA from 1 species
UACAUAGCUCAUCAAGGUAAGUGGAUUUUUCAGACCUGAAGAUUCUUUCUUUUCAAUUUGGUGUUCAGUUCAUAAAUGAAGAGAAAGAAAAUCGUGUUCCAACCCAAGAAAAUGAAGCAAGAAUGUUCAGUUAGCGAUAGCAAGAAAAAAUAGUAAUGUGAAUGUCUUUGUGUGUGUAUGUAUAGAUAGACAUGUACAUAUAAAUAUACAUUAAUAGGGAGCAUAUCCGGUGAGAACUCUUAUUUAUUGUGAGAAAUGAGAACAUUUAUUUAUGUGCAUUAGAUAUAAUAAACAGUUAAGAUUAAAUUUUUGUAAAAUAUAUCAUGUGUUGUCUCCUCCACCAAAUUGUUCUCCACUUUUACCUUUUCUCAUUCACUUCUAUGCUUCGGUCUCAAGGUUGUAGCCGGCGUCACCGUUAAACAUAGCAACGAAAACAAGUUUAUGAAUUGAUGAUGUUGUGCAAUAAAAUUACACUGUAAAUGUAAGGAUAAUUCGCCCUUGUUUCUUAUGGAUCAACAACUGCAUUAGACAACUUUGAAGGGUUUUGGGAUUUUAAUUUGUUGGCUAUAUCGAUCAUGUUUCUCAUUUGUCGGCAAUAGAUAUUUGCAUUAUUUUUUGUGGACAGUAUUCAACAAAGUGAUUAAAUUGUAGGGUAAUCAGAUUGCAUAAUGUCCAGUACUAUAUAUCUAUAUUUAGGAAUUAGGACUAGGCUACCCGUGAAGUAUGGACGGUCCAAUAACGCAGAUCUGACAUGAGGGCACAAUACAGUGAACAGUUUGGCGGUGCUAUGCAGCACAAAUUCACAAUUUGCAUUUUACAGAAGGAGAGGGAGAUAGGGUUGAUGGAUGGAUGAGUCAAGAGACGGUGUCGUAAGGAGGUAAAAAGAGGGUAAGAGGAAGACUGAGUGGAGGAGGGAACAAGUUAUAUUGCCAACAAAACUUUAAUCCUAGUCGUUUGUUAUAUCUAAUGAACAUAAAUAACUGUCCUCAUUUCUCACCAGAUACGCUCCCAAAAAUAGUAUAAGAAAAUGAAAAGGCAUAUAUACUACCUGCAAAAGGAUCUGAGUCAUACACCAGCGAAACCCAGACAUAACAGCAGC